rnacentral:misc_RNA from 1 species
CUUUAGAAAUAAACCCCUUUUUGGGGUUAAAACGGGGGAUGGUAGGUUGACCCACUGAUCACGAAAUCUCCGAAACUAUAACACCUACAAACUUGAAAUUUGGCAGGAAGGCUCCUUAUAGGGCGUAGAGAUCCGCUAAGAACGGAUUUUACGAAACUCGACCCCUAAGGGGGCAAAACGGGGGGUUGGAAGUUUGUAUGAAAGUCCUAUGUUUUAGAAGUAAAAG